UACGGGGGGAGCAAGCGUUGUUCGGAUUUACUGGGCGUAAAGGGCGCGUAGGCGGCCACCGCAAGUCGGCUGUGAAAUCUCCGGGCUUAACUCGGAAAGGUCAGCCGAUACUGCGGGGCUAGAGUGCAGAAGGGGCAACUGGAAUUCUCGGUGUAGCGGUGAAAUGCGUAGAUAUCGAGAGGAACACCUGCGGCGAAGGCGGGUUGCUGGGCUGACACUGACGCUGAUUGUGCGAAAGCUAGGGGAGCGAACGGG
rnacentral:rRNA from 1 species